rnacentral:rRNA from 1 species
GCUUGUCUCAAAGAUUAAGCCAUGCAUGUCUUAGUGUAAAUAACUCUUAUGAAACUGCGAAUGGCUCAUUAUAUCAGUUAUAGUUUAUUUGAUGGUUCUUGCUACUUGGAUAACCGUAGUAAUUCUAGAGCUAAUACAUGCGUCAAACCCCGACUUCUGGGAGGGGUGUAUUUAUUAGAUGGAAACCAAUGCGGGGCAACCCGGUAUAUGGUGAUUCAUAAUAACUUUCGGAUCGAUCUUCGGAUCGAUGCAUCAUUCAAGUUUCUGCCCUAUCAGCUUUGGAUGGUAGGGUAUUGGCCUACCAUGGCUUUAACGGGUAACGGAGAAUUAGGGUUCGAUUCCGGAGAGGGAGCCUGAGAAAUGGCUACCACAUCCAAGGAAGGCAGCAGG